AGUGGGAUAGCUGGGUCAAAUGGUGGUUGCAUUCCAAGUUUUCCAAGGAAUCUCCAUACUGCUUUCCAGAGUGGGUACACCAAUUUCCAGUGCCACCAGCAAU
rnacentral:pre_miRNA from 1 species